rnacentral:misc_RNA from 1 species
AAGCCUUUGCAGCUGGAAACAGUUGGUCUGGACGACUCUAAAGAAAUCAGCCUUUAUGCAAGUCAGCGUCUCUGCUGGCGACACUUUCGAACUGACGGGGACACCCUAAAGCUCUCCACACCAAGCCAGCCAGGGAAACCUACUGGUGGCCCAUGGGAAACUAUGGGGUAUGGUAACAGAGGGAGAGAUGAUCUGAGGCACACGCCUUAGUGAAGUGGGCAAUCCGCAGCGAAGCUCCUAACGUCCUCGGGCCUGGCCCGAACCACGGAGAACGUUCACAGACUAAGUGGAAGUGGGUGGAGAGUAAUCUCCGCUUAAGAUAUAGUCGGGCCCCUUGGGAAACCUUGGGGGUAGCGAGUCUCGAGUCUCUCGAGCUUGGAACAAACCGUUCCGUAGGUGAACCUGCGGAAGGAUCAUUACCGUUGGAGUUCGCUCCAAUCUGGGAUAGAACCCUUGCCUUUGAGUACCUUUUCGUUUCCUCGGUGGGCUCGCCCGCCGGUGGACAACCAUAAACUCUUUGUAAUAGCAGUAUCUUCUGAGAAAAACAAAUAGUCAAAACUUUCAACAACGGAUCUCUUGGUUCUGGCAUCGUA